GACGAACGCUGGCGGCGUGCUUAAUACAUGCAAGUCGAACGGAAAGGCCCUGCUUUUGUGGGGUUCUCGAGAGGCGAACGGGGGAGAAACACGCGAGUAAACCGCCCUUGUAUUUGGGAUAACUUCAGGAAAAUGGGGCUAAUACCGGAUAGGAUCUCCUGCUGCACGUGGGGCGAUAGUAAGAUUCGGCGGUUGUGUGUGGACUCGCGGGUUAUCAGCUUGUUGGUGUAGUAGUGGAUUACCAAGGCUUUGACGGGUAGCCCGCCUGAGGGGGUGACCGGCGACACUGGGCCUGAGGUGAGGCCGCGACUGCUACGGGAGGCAGCAGGGGGGAAUAUUGCAGAAUGGGCGGAAGCCUGAUGCGGGAGGGCCGCGUGCGGGAAGACGGCGUUCGGGGUGAAAACCGCUUUCGCAAGUGACGAAGCGUGUGUGACGGUGAUGGAUAAAGAAGCCCAGGCUAACUACGUG
rnacentral:rRNA from 1 species